rnacentral:rRNA from 1 species
CCAGACUCCUACGGGAGGCAGCAGUGGGGAAUAUUGGGCAAUGGGCGCAAGCCUGACCCAGCAACGCCGCGUGAAGGAAGAAGGCUUUCGGGUUGUAAACUUCUUUUAAGAGGGAAGAGUAGAAGACGGUACCUCUUGAAUAAGCCACGGCUAACUACGUGCCAGCAGCCGCGGUAAUACAGAGGAUGCGAGCGUUAUUCGGAUUUAUUGGGUUUAAAGGGUGCGUAGGCGGACUGGAAAGUCAGCGGUAAAAUCGGGAGGCUCAACCUCUUUCCGCCGUUGAAACUGUCGGUCUUGAGUGGGCGAGAAGUAUGCGGAAUGCGUGGUGUAGCGGUGAAAUGCAUAGAUAUCACGCAGAACUCCGAUUGCGAAGGCAGCAUACCGGCGCCCAACUGACGCUGAAGCACGAAAGCGUGGGUAUCGAACAGGAUUAGAUACCCCAGUA